CGGAUUCCGUCCUGGUCAUGGAACAACGGACCAACUCUUCACUCUCGCAAGGAUCCUGGAGGGGGCCUGGGAGUACGCCCAUCUGGUCUACAUGUGUUUUGUGGAUCUGGAGAAGGCGUAUGACCGGGUCCCCCGGGUGAUACUGUGGGAGGUGCUGCGGGAGUAUGGGGUGAGGGGGUCACUUUUGAGGGCCAUCCAAUCCCUGUACGCCCAAAGCGAGAGUUGUGUCCGGAUACUCGGCAGUAAGUCGGACUCGUUUCCCGUGAAUGUUGGCCUCCGCCAGGGCUGCGCUUUAUAACCAAUCCUGUUCGUGAUUUUCAUGGAUAGGAUAUCGAGGCGUAGUCGUGGAGGAGAGGGGUUGCAGUUCGGUGACCUGAGGAUCUCAUCGCUGCUCUUUGCAGAUGAUGUGGUCCUUAUGGCAUCAUCGGUCUGUGACCUUCAACAGUCACUGGAUCGGUUCGCAGCCGAGUGUGAAGCGGUUGGGAUGAGGAUCAGCACCUCCAAAUCUGAGGCCAUGGCUCUCAGCAGGAAACCGGUGGAUUGCCUACUCCGGGUAGGGAAUGAGCCAUUACCCCAAGUGAAGUUCAAGUACCUCGGGGUCUUGUUCGCGAGUGAGGGGACAAUGGAGCGAGAGAUUGGCCGGAGAAUCGGAGCAGCGGGGGCGGUAUUACAGUCACUUUACCGCACCGUUGUGACGAAAAGAGAGCUGAGCCAGAAGGCAAAGCUCUCAAUCUACCGGUCGAUCUUCGUUCCUACCCUCACCUAUGGUCAUGAAGGCUGGGUCAUGACCGAAAGAACGAGAUCACGGGUACAAGCGGCCGAAAUGGGUUUUCUCAGACGGGUGGCUGGCGUCUCCCUUAGAGAUAGGGUGAGAAGCUCAGCCAUCCGUGAGAGACUCGGAGUAGAGCCGCUGCUCCUUUACGUUGAAAGGAGCCAGUUGAGGUGGUUCGGGCAUCUAGUAAGGAUGCCACCUGGGCGCCUCCCUAGGGAGGUGUUCCAGGCACGUCCAGCUGGGAGGAGACCCCGGGGAAGACCCAGGACUCGGUGGAGAGAUUAUAUCUCCUCACUGGCCUGGGAACGCCUCAGGAUCCCCCAGUCGGAGCUGGAGGAUGUGGCCCAGAGAAGGGAAGAUUGGGGUUCCUUACUGGAGCUGCUGCCCCCGCGACCCGAUUCCGGAUAAGCGGUAGACGAUGGAUGGAUG
rnacentral:lncRNA from 1 species